GCCUGGGUGGCUCAGUGGUUGAGCGUCUGCCUUCGGCUCAGGUCAUAAUCCUGGGAUCCAGGGAUUGAGUCCCUCACCAGGCU
rnacentral:tRNA from 1 species